AUUGAUUUGCGUUGAUAUUUUGUUAAAACUGGUAGCAAGUUUAUCCUUUUCCUGCACGUUAUUUUCCAUCCUCAUGUAUCGUGCAAUGACACGCAACAAACAUGUAGUGUUUGACAAUUUUCACAUUUCGCCUGCUAAAAAACGAUUUGUCGCAACUACCACUUUUCACUUUUCGAGAAAAUUGAUGUUUAAGUUUCAACUUGCCAAAACGUUUUUGUUACAAAAUCUGUUUUGAAAACUCCAAAGCAGCUACACUUUGAGUAUAUUAGGUAGACAUCUGCCCUUUUAAUUCUCUUCAGCGUUUGUUGUUCAGAUAAAAUUUUGAUUUAAUUGUUUAUAGGUAAGCAUUUUCUCAUAGAGAGUGUUCAGUAUGAUUUGGACUUAUGACAUUUUAUUUUUUGAUGCAGAACCCAAGUUUUGGAGAUACGACACUUCAGAUUUAGCCAUUUUUAUCACCUGACAACAUUCUGUUACUUGACUGGCAGAUUGAGAUAUACUGUAUCGGAAAAGGUGGUUAAAAGUAUGGAGAUACGACAUUUUGAUGUUUUCAAUAUGUGAAAACUAGACCACCAAGGUUACAUGUGUGAUACUAGAUCAGUAGAGAGAACUGAAAGCAAAAUGGAAAUAUAAUGUAGAAAACAGUUUUACAGAAUGCAGAUUGAUCAUAAAACAUUUUAAGAUGUGAUGGCCUUAAUCCUACUCAAUAUUUUGACCGACAUAACUCAUGUCAUUUGAGAACUCCGUGGAACACAUGUUUUGAAUUCAAAAAUUUAAACUAGAUUUUGAACUGUAGCUCUAUUUUAUUAAUGUACGGGAACAGAAGAUAUUAUGAUAAUUUCUAAAUUAGUCGUUGCUCUAUGUUCAAGGGAUACAGACGGAGUAAAGGGUUCGCAAAUGAGCAAGACAUGUUUUAGUUCCCCUAGAAAAAGAUCUUCAAAGAGAUUAAGAUCAGAAAUAACAAAAAGGUGUAAAAUUAUAUCUUAGAAAUAGAGCGCCUCCACCGAACGUUUCUAAAGACUCUAUCUGCAAAAUAGAGAAGAAAAAGCUGCCAAAUAGAGAAAAAGGGACAGUAUAGACUAAAUAGGAAAUUAUAAAAAAAAUCCUAGCUCACAGAUAUAUGGUGUAUAAGAAUGUAGAAAAAUAUUAGUCCACACGUAGUGUCAAGCAUUAUAUCUUUACUUAAAGAUGAGGACUCUGACCCUCUGAUUUGAGGUGACAGUUAGAGCCCAGACGAGCUAACGAUCACGCCUCUACAUAUGUCGUCAGCAAUGCAUUUUUUGAUGAAGUGGACUCAUCAACACGUGCUUCCUUCACAAUGAAUUUGUAUUUUGUAUUUUUGGAAAUAUGUUGUUUUACAAACUUCAAAAGCAAAGAAUGUGCUAAAACGAACAAAAAAGAUUAUAUUGAAGAUUGACGUUGUGAUAAUAAUGACACGCAUACAUAUAAAAAUAUGAUAAGAAAAAAAGUAUAUCUUAAAUUAUAUGAUUUGAACCAUUGCGUGCUAUCCAAUUACGAGUAUUUAGACAAUUUAGCCGCCGUAUAUGUUAAAAAUACUAAUUAAGUAUAAAAACAGCAGCUGGGCGGCGUCGGCGGGACAGGAGUGGCCUGUGGGCUCACCCCCGGGUAUCCUCUUCAUCUUUAUGUACUCCGUGGCACUCCAUGUCCCAACGAUAACACAAAUCUAAUAGAAAUAUGUAAUUUCGAAGUACCCGCUUGACUAAUUCAGCCGCAAUCGAUUUCGUGUAAUUUUACAUAUAUAAAGUAAAUACAAUCGGCAGUAAAAGCAAGGGAUAUAAAGUGGUAAAUGAUUCAGAAAAAGAAUGGUAUCGGUUAUCUCCCAUCCCACAGGAACUGACAAUGUACUUGUCUUUUCUCCGCUUGUAUUUUUCGGGUGAAGUGUAUAAGGCAGAAUUUCGGUGCUUGCACACUAUACUUCAAUGGUCUCUGCCAUUAUUUGAAGUUUAACAAAAUUCCUUCAAUAGUUUCGGAGUGUUACGCACGCAUGGGCGACAGACGCAUAUACACGAAAGUUAGCCAAAAACAGAACGCGUCCUUAUGUCGCACUGUAGUGUUGUCUGGGUCUGUACAAAACACGACAAUAUAACAGCACCGUAAUUUAAACGAAGAAAAAGAUAAGUAAUGGACGCCCACUCGACAUUUAUGUUAUCAAGUUUUCAUGUUGACGGGUAUGAAAAUGUCGUUAAGGCGCCUUUUAUUUGUCGAACUAUAUUAUUGUCGUACCUUCGGUCUGUACACGGGUACUGCGGGUACGACAGAACGACACUUUUUGUAUCGACAAAAUCGACUUCGCAGAAAUUUGCCACAAAACGUUUACAACAAUACUAUAUACUUGUAUAAUGCAUUCUUAAUGCAGUGUAAAAUGCCCGGUUUCUAUUUGGAGAUUUUAUUUAGAUACUUUUAAAAAUACUAAAUCAAGAAAAAAAAUGUCUGAGUUGGGAAUCGAAUCCGGAUUGCCUGUGAAAUAAGAACUUCCCAUGCACCUAGAAGGUAUUCGUACUUAACGGUUAUAUAAAGCUUAAUAAUGCAGUUUAGUUUAAACGCUUUUCAAUUUCGAACGGUAAAAUCAGUAAAAGGAAACCCAACUCAUUCUCAUGUAUUACAUAGCUAAGUAACUAAGUUUCUAAAUCUUCUUAAAGAAUGAAGCAAUUAUACCCUAAUAACCUAUAAUAACUUUUAUAUUCGUACUAUGUAGAGGUCAGUCCUUUUAAGAUCUGUUAUGAAGAGCGCUCUAUGUAAAAACCAGUGUAUCCUCUAAAGAUAUGAAGUUUUGAGAAUGACACACUGUAAGAGUAUCACCAAAUGGAAAAAAGCAGACUUUACCCAUGGUAAAAAGACACAACCUAUAAAUUUAAGAAAGACCGUUUACUCAAAUGAUAAUCAGCUUUAUAUUUAUUUUUCAUUCAAGAUAUGAAGAAA
rnacentral:lncRNA from 1 species